AUUGAACGCUGGCGGCAUGCCUUACACAUGCAAGUCGAACGGUAACAGGUCUUCGGAUGCUGACGAGUGGCGAACGGGUGAGCAAUACAUCGGAACGUGCCUAGUAGUGGGGGAUAACUACUAGAAAGAGUGGCUAAUACCGCAUGAGAUCUACGGAUGAAAGCAGGGGAUCGCAAGACGUUGUGCUACUAGAGCGGCCGAUGGCAGAUUAGGUAGUUGGGGGGAUAAAAGCUUACCAAGCCGACGAUCUGUAGCUGGUCUGAGAGGACCAUCAGCCACACUGGGACUGAGACACGGCCCAGACUCCUACGGGAGGCGGCAGUGGGGAAUUUUGAACAAUGGGCGCAAGCCUGAUCCAGCAAUGCCGCGUGCAGGAUGAAGGCCUUCGCGUUGUAAACUGCUUUUGUACGGAACGAAAAGCCCUGGUUUAAUACCCUGGAGUCAUGACGGUACCGUAAGAAUAAGCACCGGCUAACUACGUGCCAGCCGCCGCCGUAAUAC
rnacentral:rRNA from 1 species